AUGCCAAGCAAAUACAGAGCAUUUCUUUCAUACCAUCUCCUUACUUUGCCCUUCACAAGCAUAUGCGAAGAAGGCUUAAUGGGCAUGACUCUGCUCCCCCUUUUCAUCCUCCUAAUAUUGAUUUGUCUCUGCAAAUCCGAUGACCGCCUAACACCUACGAAGCCACUCUUGCCUGGCGACAAGCUCGUCUCCAACAAUGGCAUCUUUGCUCUUGGUUUCUUCUCCCCAGAAAACUCGAGCGCAAACUCAUAUGUAGGCAUAUGGUACCAUGACAUACCGGAGCGGACAUAUGUUUGGGUGGCCAACCGCGACAACCCAAUCGGUAGCGGUUUGUCAGGGAAGUUGGUUCUCACCAACAGCUCUGACCUUGUCUUGUCGGAUUCCAAGGGCCGUAUCCUUUGGAGGACGGCGAACAACGUCACCGCCGGGGGUGACGGGGCUGUGGCGCUGCUGCUCGAGGGGGGGAACUUUGCCAUCCAGUUGCAGAAUUUCACGCAGAUAUGGCAGAGCUAUGAUCACCCGACUGACACCAUCCUCCCCGGCUUCAAGUUAUGGGCGAACUACAAGACCCACACAGCUGUGCGCAUCGUUGCUUGGAAGGGUUCUCAAGACCCAUCCACCGGGAAAUUCCUCCUCAGUCGUGACCCCAGCACGGGCCUCCAGAUCCUCACCUGGCGCGGGACAAGCAAGUACUGGCGCAGCGGACUGUGGAACGGUGCAGAAGCCUCGGACAAGAACGGAUACAUGUGGUCCCAGAACGUCGAUGAUGGGGAGACCAUCUACUCGACGUACAACACUGGCAACAGCUCCUCCCGGAGAUCACACUGGAAGCUGGACUACACAGGCGACUUGAUGCUCAGGAUCUGGAGUGGCCAGUCAUGGGUGGUUCUGUUCAAGCGCCCAGAUGAUGGCUGCCGCCAAUACGGCUCGUGUGGUCCGUUUGGCUACUGUGACAUGCCCACCAGGGAGUGCAGGUGCCUUGAUGGGUUCGAGCCGGCGGACGGCUUCAGCGCCAACUUCUCCAGAGGAUGCGUGAGAAAGGAGGCGCUGACAUGUCGUGGCUACCAUUUCUCGGCCUUGCCUGGGAUGAAGGUACCUGACGAAUUUGUGUAUGUUAGGAGCAGAAGCUUCGAGGAGUGCACUGCUGAGUGUGAGCGUAACUGCUCCUGCACCGCGUAUGCUUACGCCAAUCUGAGCAGUAUUGUCGCAACCGGUGGCCCAUCAAGAUGCUUGGUCUGGACAGGGGAGCUUGUCGACUUAGAGAAGACAGGCGUACUUGGUGGCAACCUGUACCUUCGGCUUGCUGGCUCUCCUGGACACAACAGGAAGAGUGGUGUCCGUGUGGUAUUAAAGAUUUCACUCCCAGUUAUAUCGUUCCUGGUGAUACUCUCAUGCAUAUAUCUUGUCUGUAUAUGCAAGCUAAGAGGGAAACAAGUAAACAAAGAAAGCAUGAAAAGACCGGCCCUGGAACAGUUUAGCACUUCGCAAGAAGUUUGGGAUCAAAAUUUGGAAUUGCGCUCUAUUAGGUUCGAAGACAUCGCUGCUGCAACAAACAGUUUCCAUGACACGAACGUACUUGGAAAAGGAGGGUUCGGCAAAGUCUAUAAGGGAACACUAGAAAACGGAAAGGAAGUUGCUGUUAAAAGGCUUAGCAAGGGUUCUGAGCAGGGUAUAGAGCAUUUUAUAAAUGAAGUGGUUCUUAUUGCCAAAUUGCAGCACAAGAAUCUAGUUAGACUUCUUGGCUGUUGUAUUCAUGAGGAUGAGAAGUUGCUUAUUUAUGAAUACUUGCCCAACAAAAGCCUAGACAAGUUUCUCUUUGAUACUGCAAGGAAGUCUGUACUUAACUGGACAAGAAGGUUCAACAUAAUCAAAGGGGUAGCUAGAGGACUUAUGUAUCUCCACCAAGAUUCGAGAACGACGAUAAUCCAUAGAGACCUCAAACCAAGCAACAUCCUGCUAGAUGUGGAGAUGAACCCGAAAAUAUCAGAUUUUGGAAUGGCAAGGAUCUUUGGAGGCAACGAGCAACAGGAAAGUACCAGACGAGUUGUUGGGACUUACGGGUACAUGUCACCUGAGUAUGCGAUGGAGGGCAUUUUUUCCGUCAAGUCUGACAGCUACAGCUUUGGUAUUUUGCUACUGGAGAUUGUAAGUGGAUUAAAGAUCAGCUCACCUCAUCAUCUUGUGAUGGACUUUUCAAACCUCAUAUCCUAUGCUUGGAACCUGUGGGCAGAUGGAAAAGUGAGGGAUUUCGUGGACGCAGCCGUCACGGAGAGCUAUUCGCUUGACGAAGUGUCCAAGUGCAUCCAUGUUGGGCUCUUGUGUGUCCAGGACAACUCCAGUGCUAGGCCACACAUGUCAUCGGUAGUGUCCAUGCUCGACAGUGAAGCCAUGCCUCGUGCAGCGCCGGAGCAACCUGUGUAUUUUGCACGGAUAAACUAUGAAAGCAGUGAAGCGAUGGAAGACACUGAGAACUCUGCUAAUGGCGUGAGCCUUACGGCACUAGAAGGACGAUGA
rnacentral:rRNA from 1 species